GACGGAGGAUGCAAGCGUUAUCCGGAAUUAUUGGGCGUAAAGCGUCCGCAGGUGGGUUUACAAGUCUGCUGUCAAAGUGCAGAGCUUAACUCUGUAAAGGCGGUGGAAACUGUAGGUCUUGAGUAUGGUAGGGGUAGAGGGAAUUCCCGGUGUAACGGUGAAAUGCGUAGAUAUCGGGAAGAACACCAGUGGCGAAAGCGCUCUACUGGGCCAUAACUGACACUGAGGGACGAAAGCUAGGGGAGCGAAAGGG
rnacentral:rRNA from 1 species